UUUUUUUUUUUUUUUUUUUUGGCCACACCUGUGGUACAUGGACGUUCCCAGGCCAGGUAUUGAACCCAUGCCACUGCAGAGACAACACUGGAUCCUCAACCCACUGAGCCACAGUGAGAACUCCCUUCUUUAAAACUCUCCAGUGGCAUCAUUUGGCAUACGCUUUGCCACGGACUUCAGGUCCCUGAACGAUCUGGCCCUUUCCUGGCCUUUUGAAUUCACCUCCUCCUACUUUUUUCAAGUUCACAAGGCUGCAGCCUCAAGGCCUUCCUUCCAAAUGUCACCAGUCGCUCUUGUAUGGGAGUGUUGGCCGCUGCUGCUUUUUGCACGGCUGACUACUCCUCACGGCCAAGGUUUCACGUGGGCCAGCACUUCCUUGAUGGUCUGUUUACACGUUUCACCAUCAUCCCGGGUCACAAGCUCCUCAGCCUGUUUUGAAGCCUUCAAAGCUCUUAUCACCGUUGGAGAGAGCCUUGUUCAUUUUCUCUCUUUGUGCCAGAUGACAGGCUAGUCCUGCCGGGAGCUGGGGCUGCCUCAACUUGCUCUGUCUUUCCUAAGUACCCGACACUUGGAAGGCCAUCGCCACCUAUUUGCUGACUUGAAUGGAUGGAAUCCUAUACAAAGUUAUGCUUCCUCUAAUAUCUGAAAUUCUACCAUUAGCAACGUAUUCCUUUUUUUUUUUUUUGCCUUUUGUCCUUUUAGGGCCACACCCACAGCGGCUGUGGAGGUUCCCAGGCUAGGGGUCGAAUCGGAGCUGUAGCCACCGGCCUACGCCAGAGCCACAGCUACGCGGGAUCCGAGCCGCGUCUGCAACCUACACCACAGCUCACGGCAACGCCGGAUCCUUAACCCACUGAGCAAGGGCAGGGACCGAACCCGCAACCUCGUGGUUCCUAGUCGUAUUCGUUAACCACUGCGCCACGACGGGAACUCCCAUGCACAACUUUAAUGCAUUUGUUCAUCUUACAUCACAGUCAAAAUCAGAAUAACACUAUGCAACCUGGAAUAGAUUCAUGGAGUUUAGAGAACAUUAUCUUUGUUCCUCUCACUUUUAGAUGGUGGAACAGAGGCCAAGAGGGGUUGAGUAACUUGUUCAGUAAUAAAGACACGAUGUAUUAAAAACAGGAAAAUAAUCCAAGGUUUCUGGACAUGCAAGGAAGGUCUCUUUUCACUUUACCUUCUUAUUUCAUAGGGGAGACAGAUUUCAGUGGGUAGGGAACAAGGGACUUGGGGGUCUGAUGAGAACACUGAAGGAUCAGAUGGAAAGCUGGCAGGCACAAUCUCAAAAGCAUGACAAACCCCAGUUCCUGCAAAAUGAGGUCAAAUAGCCCCACUUAGGCUGUAGGGACUCAGGGGCAUCCUUUAGUUGAGCCAAGGGCAGCCCAAUACCUGAUAUUCACGACUCUGACCCUGAGUCAGAAAUCCAAGAUGAAAUCAUGUUUCUCAUAUUCUACUGAAGGAGGUAGGGAAGGGUUCCAUGCACUCUCAGGGACAUUCCUAUGCAAAAUGGUUAAAAUAAAUAUAUCAUUUGAUGUGCAAAGGGAUAAGCUUCAGUUAUGUGGAAAACACAUUCACACGGAACAGUCCGCGCCAAAUGAGGCAUUGCAGUAUUUGCAAAAUGUUCAGCAUGUCCUCCGAGUCUUGGCUACUCUGAGGUUUCUACUAAAUGAAAAAUGAGCUUUACUUGUGUCUAAAUCUGAGCUUAAGUGCACUCUCUAAAACCUUCCUGGGAAUUUUUUGGACAGGUGUCUCUUUUCAAACAGCAUAAUAUUUGGACAUUACAUUUUAAAUAUGUGCAGAUAAAAAUGAUAUUCCAAAUCUGUAUUUCACUUAUAACCAGAUGGGAUAACAGUAGUGAGAGUUACCGAGAGACAGUCCUUCAUGGAAAAAUAAUGGAAAUAGAACCUAACCUCUUCCUAACCCCGCCUGGAGGUUUGUGGCUACGAGUUCUAGAGCGAACAUCAUAUUCU
rnacentral:lncRNA from 1 species